AACGCACGAGACCUGCGGACCUGCGGAGGGAUCAUUAAUGUGAUGGAUGUGCUAGUCUUGACCUCUUAAUCCUCCUUCAAUUUAUUGUUAGGUGGGGGCCUGACGGCUCAAGGGGAAAGGAAAUAAGAACCCGUUCGGGUGUGCACUCCGAUACAAUCCAAUUUUCUCUUAUACCUUGUGCAUCUUUGCCUGCUGAGCAUGAAGGGAAUGUUGAAGCAACAUUCUUGAUUGAUCAUGUAG
rnacentral:misc_RNA from 1 species